rnacentral:lncRNA from 7 species
GCUGCAGCUGGAGAUAUGACUCAGACUCUCUCAACGCAACGCCUGAACCAGUUUGUACUCCAGUGCCACUUCAAGGCACAAGUCUGUAAGGUCGAGGUUUUAGAGACUGGUUUGAUGCGGCCUGCAAGGCAGAGGAGCCACUGCUAAAGCUAGCAGAUUCUAGAGAAAAGCUCCUUGUGAAAUCCACAGACACAAUAAUCACUCCUCAUUUCCUCCUGUCAAACAGAAGGUGACAUACGGAACAAUUAAGGAUUUUUGCUCAUAAUAAGCGACAAUGUUUAAAACGAGAAAAAAGGCUCAUUUUUAAAGCAGUUUGGAGAGCAAGAGGACAGUCUGCUCUCUCAAAGAAGCCAGGUCUUAAUCUGUAGGGAAGUAGAAGCUUUUUCUUCUUUAUGACCGUGAAAUAGAUUAUACCACUCGUGGAUUUUGAUUUUCAGUAUUAACACUUGCUGUGGGAUCUAAUCUACUUUCUAUUGUCCCAACCUAGGAUGAUUAGCGAUAUAUCAUUAGCUAAGACAUUUUUUUGCUAUUAGAAAAGCUGUCCUCAAUGAAUGCAACCCUUUCUCGAUGAACUCACUCUCAAUAGCACCCUGGCUCAGGCCGCCUGUGCCUUCUGCUACUCCAAAACCAAUUACAGAGCUGUCAGCGACAGACAGGCUGUGAAACAAAUCUGCACAUGUACUGAGACUAAUUUAACCAUUCUACGGCUGGAGAAUAAAAGCAGAAAUAGCAGGAUUCCUUCCCUGGGAGAACAUGCUGAAAUUACACGUUUUGCUUCAUGGCAUCCAUGGGUCACAUAUGAAUGACAGCUCUUUUUGCCUGUGUGCGUACAGUUGGGCUACCUAUGUUCUUCUGAUUAGCUGGCCAGUUUUUGGUCAGCAACAGCAAAACUUGCACAAAAUCCUUGCUUUCUGGAGGGGCCGGUAUUAGUGCCAGCAAUAACAUCAAGGAUAAGUAGCUCAUAAGUGAAUCAAGUGACCAGAGCAACCAAAGAAACAAGUGAACACAUCCUACCAGGAUAUACUACCUCAAGAUAGCAGGGAUGGAAACCAGCAGACUCCCAGCACUGCACACAGUGGCAAAAGGAUGAUUCUGGCAGAGGUGGGGAUUGCUUUUGAUGGAAGAGCAAGUGGAUGGGAUAUGAGGACAUGGAAGUGAUCAUAGCACAGUUAUUGAGGUAAGAAGGCAAUAAGCAUAAUAUAACACUCAAAAUGAAACUGUAAUAGUUGUAAAAUUGAAUGCAGUUUUUAAAGUAACAAGUAAAGCUCUGAUGCAUAAAAAUUCCAUUUCAACUAGAAAGAAAAAAAAGAAUGAAGAAAGUAAACU